GUGGUGUGAUUCUAGGGUUAAGCAUAUGUAUAUAAAUUCACCGAUAUCGUUUCUUCGACGGUAGGGUUUUGAUCUGCACGCGCACCUCUUCGCCAAAAUUCUCUUCUCGCCAUGGGAGGAAGGAAGAGGAAAUCCGAUGCCUCGCGCCUCGACGAGGUCGAUCGUCUUAUGUACACCAGUUUCUGCAGCGCCGCUAAUUCCCUUUCCCAGCUCUACACCCAUGCGAUGCACAAGCAGAAGCUCUCUUUCCAGGCCGGUGAACGCCACGCCUUGGAUAAGCUUUACAGUUGGCUCUUGAGACAGCAAGAGAACGGCGCCAGAGUGACGACUGGUGAUAUAUUCACAUAUAUUCAGAAUGAACUCGAUAAUGGAACAGAGGAGCCUCCACCAUCCCCGAGGCUUCCAGUCCCGCAACAACAACAACCACCUCAAACUUUGAUGCAGUUACCUCAGUCAGGACUCCCUGUAGUAUCUUCGAAUGCAUUUGGUCCCAUGACUGUUGGACAAGGAGUUCGCUCGGGGAACUCUGAUCAGACCAAGAACUCUGUUUUCUCAAAUGCCCUCUCCAGCCCAGUUCGCCGAAGUCUCCAGAACUAUCACUUAUCUCAGGGAGGUUACUCGGCUAACAAUGGGAAUCGAGGCAAUGAGAACAAUACCAAUCCCACCAAUCCUCCAAGUUCCAAUGAUACUUCCAUGGAUAUGCAUCCCGACAGCCCGGGCCACGAUUCUCCUUACUGAAACCGAUCCCCCGUCCCGUGUGAAAAAGAGAAUAACAUGGAAAGAUAGGAGUGUAAAGAAAGAUUGAUAGUUGUGUGAGGAAGGAGCAUGGUUUUGUAUUUAAGCAAGGUGAAUGGAUGCUUACAGUAUGAAGCAGACAAUGGAUGGAUGGAUGGAAUGGUGGAUGGAGAAAGAAAGAGACAAGUUUGUGUUUCUCACUCUGUAUAUUCUGGAAAAUGAAAAAUCAUUUUAUAGUCUGUACUCUACUUCAAUGUGAGUUUAAUUGAGUUCAGAGUUUCACCUGACAGUUUAUAUGUUGUGUUUGCUUUUGGUUUGAAAUAUCUAUGCUGUUUUAAAUGACUCUGUAUCUAAAAAUUUUGGAGUAGAAUAUAGUUGUUUCAUAUUUUCUCAUUCA